rnacentral:rRNA from 1 species
UACAGAGGGUGCGAGCGUUAAUCGGAAUUACUGGGCGUAAAGCGUGCGUAGACGGUUAUUUAAGUCAGAUGUGAAAGCCCCGGGCUCAACCUGGGAAUUGCAUUUGAGACUGAAUAGCUAGGGUACGGUAGAGGGAAGCGGAAUUUCCGGUGUAGCGGUGAAAUGCGUAGAUAUCGGAAGGAACAUCAGUGGCGAAAGCGGCUUCCUGGACCAGUACCGACGUUCAGGCACGAAAGCGUGGGGAGCGAACAGG